rnacentral:lncRNA from 1 species
UUUUUUUUUUUUUUAGGGCUGCAGCUGCGACCUACGCCACAGCUUGUAUCAACACCAGAUCCUUAACCCAUUGAGUGAGGCCAGGGAUCAAAUCUGUUAGAGUGGGCAGAUAGGCAUCAGCAGAGAAGGGGAUCCUGGGGCCAGAUAGCAAGAAACCGCGCAUCACACAAAUGUGUUCAUGGGUGGACAAAGAAAAGCUGGAAACACCAGACUGAUAGGAAACCACACAUUUUUGGGGUGAUAAGUGCCCAGGCUGCAGACAAAGAAAGGUAGAAGAGGGCACGAAUCUCCAGUGUCUGAAUGGAACCCUGUUGCUCAUUAUGCCCUCCUUAUAAUAAAAUUCUAAUACAAUUAGCUAUGCAGAUAAGAAGUACCCAUUAUACAUGGAUGCCAUGACACUUCCAAUUAACCAACUAAGGACAAAAAUCCCUCCUCCCUUCGGGAAGGUGGAGCUGGGAUGAAAAUUAAGGAAUAUGACCCCUAAACCCCACUUUCUCAAUGACUAUCCCAUCUAUACAAUUGGACACCCCUUCUAACUAGUGCACCCAAAAAACACAGGACAGCUGCUCACCUCUCUGCCCACCUCUCCUUAAGAGGUGUACUUCUCACUUAAAUAAACCCUCACUUUUCUUUCUCAAUUUCCAUCUCAUUUCUGAAUUCCUUCUGCAACUAGACAAGAACCUAAUCUUCAGGAACAAACCUGCAUCCUCGCAGACACUGAGUAGGGUUCUUAUUCUGCUGAGCUACCACAGGAACUCCUAAUCUGGCAUUUCUGGCCUACUUGGCCCACAGAAGCUGAGAGAACAUCUUUAGGUGGACAAUUGCAAUUCUUGCUAGAGAAUGCCAUCCAUGAGCUUAAGCUGGAACUGGUGGAACACCAGUAGCUUUUCCUACGAUGCCUGAGUUGAUCCACCUGAUCCCUAAUGUCACCCCAAAACUGGGUUCACCUCUCGUUGGGUUUUGAGCCAAAAGACACAGUCAAGCCAAAGAGCAGGAGUAGGAAGGAUUUGUUUUACUUAACAGUAAGAAGAGUAUCAGGGAUAGUUCCCAAAACAAUGUCUCUCAAACAGCAAAACUGGGGAAGUUUUAAGUUAAGGGUACAUUCAUACUCAUGAAAGGGCUUGAGCAAAGAAGAAUUCAGCAUAGAACUGGGGCAAAGGUCCAGCUGAUUAGAGUUACAAGGGUCAGCCAAGGCUGGCAUCAUCCUUUCUUAGGUUCCACUUGGCCUGGUGGUUGAGUACUUGAUGGGCUGGUUGAGCUGUAAAACAAUUUAAGAAUGUGCCUAAGGCUAACUUUUAUCUUUAAAACAGAACCAGGAUUCUUCACAACUGAUAUAUUGUCUCUGAUAAGGUUUUUAUCUUCCUGGCCUGGUAAUAGCUAUUUCUUUCUUAAUUCUUUUGCAGCUUUAAAGUCAUUAACUACUGAGACAAAUUCCUCUGCAAAGGCAAGCAUUGUGGCCAGGCUUAGAUCACAAAAUGAUGUAGGCCUAAAAAGUCUUCUUUUAUGUAAAGAAACCUAUGUUUGGUUCUUUUCCUCCACUAGUUGAUCUGAUUGAUCCAGCUGAUCUGGCUGAAUCAAGGGAGAUCAACAAUGCUGAUCUCCCAGGGUGGCUUUGAGGAUGAGAUGAAAUGAGCAUUUGAGGACAUCUGGUAAAGUCUGAAGAGCCAUUUGAAUAUGUGUAUAUAUCUGUAUACACACACACACACACACGUGUGUGUGUGCAACAUUGUGAUUUAUAAUAAGAAAUGCAUAUUUAGAUUUUACCCUCAAUAGAGCUUUUAAAAUCCUUGGAAUUUUGUGAUGAGAGCAAUAAAGACAUCUUCUGUUCUCUUAAUGAGGUGAUUUUUGGAAAACACCUAAGGAUGGGAGCUGGUUGCUGGAAGAAAUAACCAUGUGAUUAGAAGCUUGGACCUUUCAAUCCCAUCCCCUGACCUCCAGAGAGGGAGAGGAGCUAGGGACUGAGUUCAGUCACCCAUGGUCAAUGAUUGAAUCAAUCAUGCCUAUGUCAUGAUGCAGUUUGGAGAGCGUUUGGGUUCUUGACCACACAAACCUGUGGGCAGAAUGAUGUGCUCCAAGAAGGCAUGGAAGCUCAGAGCCCUUUCCUCAACUUCAACCCUAUAUAUCUCUUCCAUCUGGCAGUUCCUGAGUUAUAUCCUUUUGUCAUAAACUGGUAACUAAGUAAACUGUUUCUCUGAGUUCUGUGAGCAGCUCUAGGAAAUUCAUCAAACCCAAGAAGAAGGUCCAAGAAACCUCUAAUGUAUAGCCAGUCAAUCAGAAACUCAGGAGACAAUCUGGGCUUGCAACUGGAGUCUGACAUGGAAAGAGGGAAGUCUUGCGGAAUCUGACACUAUCCUUGUAGGGGUGUGGAAAAGGGAAUAGGAAGCUUGACAAGAGCGAAGCCAUCUUGCUGUCCAUCUCAGGUGACCCAUACAAGGGCUCUGAAAAAAAAAAGUAAUUAGUACUUGAGAAACUCCAGGCCCCAGUUGUUCUUGAGAUAUUCAAAAAUAGCUAGAUUGUACUUGAGGUUAAUCAUUAAAGGAACGAUAUAAGACAUUCAGUAGAGCUAUGCAUCUUUCUAUAUCCUGCAUGUAACUAAAGGUUAAUGUAGCAUGUUAGACACCUAAGCAAGCACUAUAAAUGUAUCUCUCCCUUUCUGUUUGGGGUCCAUGAUUGGGAAGUGAUUCCCCGUGGACCCGCUGGCAUAAUUAAGCUGUUCUCCAUCUUCCUUGCGUGUCCUCUGAGGUGACUUCUGGGAAUUCUACAGCAUCCUCAGGUAGAUAAUAUCAGAAUUGAUUUGAAUUAUUGGAUCCUCAACUGCUGUCAGGGAACUGGUGGUGUGUGUGGUGGGGGUAACUCAUUCAGCAAAAUCAGGCGUCAGAACUAUAAUUGGUAAUCAGGGGUGGAAUCAGAAUCAGAAUUCUGGUGUGUAUGAUAAAAGAUUAGAAAUCUGCCCCUGCAUUGCUUCUAAACAUAUGCACCUAGAUAUUAAUAUUUAUAUUUAAUGGCUAGCAUACUCUCUCAAUUUCUUAUUGAGAAAUCUGAUCAAUAAAGUUGCUUACGUUGUCAGGAUAUAUAUGUUUGCCAUAGGAUGUCAUUAAACUUUUUUUUCAUAAAGCCUGUAAUCAUUAUUAUGUGUCCUGAUGGGCGCUCAUGAAAAAAAAUUUUUUUUUUUUUUUUUGCCUACCAGUGAAUUUUAUCCUGCUGCCUGAGAGAGGCUAGUUGAAGACAGAGAGUGGCAUUGAUAGGAAUGGAGUAGGAUAGUUCCAAAGGUAGUUGUAGAAGACCCAGUAAGGGAUUAAGAGAGAGAAACCUAAGACAUUUGGGGAGACCACUGUAAGCUAAUAAUAGCUCAAGAAAGCUAUCAGAACAUCAGAAUGAAGCAGGCUUUCUUAACUAUAAAACCAUAAAUAAAAGCACGAGAUAGGCCUCAGGUCAUUAAGUGAAAGAUAAAAUGAGGCCUGCCUUCAAGUUCAGCAAGAUAAUGAUUCUUGUGACCAAGGAAAGGAAUUUAAGGGAAAGAUGACAUUCCAAAGGAGGACCCCCUCAAUAUGCAGAACUCUGAGAUUUUAGCAUCUGUUACCACACUUCUCCUGAUUUGAAUAAGCAUCAUUAACCUUCAUGGGUCAAAUACUCUCUUACCCAAUACAAAGGAGGAGCUAGUGAUGUAAGCCUCCUUCUACUUGGAGAAUGAGAAAGAAGGCAGUCUUUUCCCACUCCCCGCUCUCCUUGGGUUAUAAGAAUGUAGCCCACCUAAUCCUUGGGGUAGAACCUCCUGACCUGCCCACAUGUAUCCCUCACAAGUGUUGACUGGAAAAAAAAAAAAAAAGACCUGAAAGUUGAGUCAAGUUUUAUUUGGGGUGAAAUUAUGACUUAAGCCCGGGAGACAGCAACUUGGGUUGUCCUGGGAAACAGCUCAGAGGAGGCAAGGCAGAGAAGCUGGAAUAUAUGAGUUUUUGCAACAAAGGGAAAGUGGUAGGAAAAAAGAUUUUCAGAGAAUCAGAUUUGCAGAAGAAGAUUUAUAGAAAACCAGUUUCUAUGGGAAGAUGGAAAGGUCUGGGCUUACUGGAAUCACUCCUUUGGUAUGCACCUCAGCUAUGGGCUACUCUUUGUUACUUUCCUGAGUUCCCUCAGGGCACACUCACUGGCCACCCUUGGGAAUGGCUGUUCUCACAGAUGACUGUUUUAUCCGCUAACUACAGAGCCCAGGAGGCAGUAUUUCAGCUCAGCCUCAAAGAGCAAAGAGGGGGAGUUCCCAACAUGGCUCAGCGGUUAAAGAAUCUGAUUAGGAACCAUGAGGUUGAGGGUUGGCUCUCUGGCCUUGCUCAGUGGGUUCAGGAUCCGGCAUUGCCAUGAGCUGUGGUGUAGGUUGCAGACGUGGCUCAGACCCCGCAUUGCUGUGGCUCUGGCGUAGGCUGGUGGCUACAGCUCCGAUUUGACCCCCUAGCCUGGGAACCUCCAUAUGCCAUGGGAGCGGCCCUAGAAAAGGCAAAAAGACAAAAAAUAAAAAUAAAAAUAAAAAAA